UGCCGACCUACAAUGGAAAUACGUACAAUACUGUUUACGCGGAAUUCCAAUUUUCAUAGGAUGGAAAAGAUAAUUGACAAGAAAUAGGGAUAGAUCUAACUGGAUGAAGAUAGAAAAGCAAUUUCUCACUCCUCUUAAAAACGGAAGAUCUGGUUUAGAUCUGGUGAGAGCAAAUAACAAAAGCGACGUAGUCUGAAGGAAAUCACAUUGAUAGUCACCUCAGCGGUUUCACAAAGUACCAACGCUAUUCCUGCACAUAG